AAAAGGUAGGUCACCGUGGUUAUUUGUCCGCUAAGAAGUUUGGUUGAUAUAGGCCUUAUAGAUGGUGACGUCAUGUUGUCAUGGUAACGUAAAGAGUAGCAAUUGUGAUUUAAAAUUACUCUUUUAUAUGAGAGGAAACAACGUCUUGUGCUUUAGAUUCAAAUAGCUCUUAGAUUAAUUAAAACACUGACAUAUAUUGGAAACUGUAGGGAGCCUCCUUAAACCUCACAGGAAACGUGCCAUACAG